CGCUCACUCGGCGGUGUUUCAUCCGCCGGCCGCUCCUACCGGCUGCGGGCCUUCCGGCGGUGCGCGAGGCACCGGUGGACGC
rnacentral:tRNA from 1 species